rnacentral:rRNA from 1 species
AGAGUUUGAUUCUGGCUCAGAACGAACGCUGGCGGCAUGCCUAACACAUGCAAGUCGAACGAACCCUUCGGGGUUAGUGGCGCACGGGUGCGUAACGCGUGGGAACCUGCCUUUAGGUUCGGAAUAACAGUUAGAAAUGACUGCUAAUACCGGAUAAUGUCUUCGGACCAAAGAUUUAUUGCCUUUAGAUGGGCCCGCGUUGGAUUAGAUAGUUGGUGGGGUAAUGGCCUACCAAGUCGACGAUCCAUAGCUGGUCUGAGAGGAUGAUCAGCCACACUGGGACUGAGACACGGCCCAGACUCCUACGGGAGGCAGCAGUGGGGAAUAUUGGACAAUGGGCGAAAGCCUGAUCCAGCAAUGCCGCGUGAGUGAUGAAGGCCUUAGGGUUGUAAAGCUCUUUUACCAGGGAUGAUAAUGACAGUACCUGGAGAAUAAGCUCCGGCUAACUCCGUGCCAGCCGCCGCGGUAAUUC